CAGCCUUAACCCAAAAUAAAGGAACUUAUCGUUAUCUGCCGGGUUAUUUUUGACCCAAAAUGGGCCAAAUGGCCAGAUCCGAAGUAAAAAUGUUAUUUUUAUCGUUCUCUAGGGAAAUGACGGGACAGUCCCAAUAUAAUGUCCCAAAAGCUCAAAUCUCGCACAAUUUGGACUUUGGACUCAAAAGAAUACAUCCCACAGUUCAAACCAUUUUGGGAGUUCACUCAAGACAUCCUCAAAUCUCAAGGCUAUUGCUAAAUCAGGCGAGACUUCCUAACACCACGCGAGAAUCUCAUGAAAUCGCGUGUCCUCCUUAAACUCUCACAAAACUCGGGCAGAUCUUGUGAGACUUCCAGUAGAUCAUGCCAGACUAUCUCGGUGUCUCACCGAGAUAGUCUUACACUAAAAAAAAAUCACACAAGACUCCGUCGUUGCUCAUGCGAUACUUCCACACAUAUGGUGAGACUUCCGCAAUUGUUGCAGACUUCCACAAAAUCAGGAAAGACUUCCACUGAAACCAUAGCAGAACCAUUCUCCAAUUCUUACCAGACAUUUUUUGAUAGAGCAGAAGACAACUACAUCUCAAUAGAUAUCUUCACAUCUUACCAGACUUGAAAGGUCAUCUUAGUAAUCAGCCGCAAGGUUGACUUGUUUUGGCGCUUUUCAGGACAAGGCAACAAUUAUGAUUUUGACCCAAGAUGGCUGAAGUCGAUAAGGUCGGAUAGGUUCAUGUUUCUUAAUGUGAGCUCUGCCGGGCAAACUUGCUUUUUAAGACGGUGAUUUAAGAGAUAUCACAUAUGGUCCUGUUUAAAAUGUAAUAAAAAUCACAGUACCAACAAUUCAUUUUGUCUUUUUGACACUUAAACCAGCUCCCAGGAUACUAAUUGCAUUUCCUGGAUUCCAUCGGAUGCUAAGAUAAAUAUUUUCUUAUUGAAGUCACACUUAUCCAUCAGUAGCUGUUGCGUAAUGCUGCUCAGGAGAUGCUGGAAUUUCCCUCUUACUGAAAGGAACCAGCAUGACAUUUGAUUAAUCAAGAUGCUACUUUUUUCCAAAAAAACAAACACAAAUGUUCCUCUGAGGGGAAAGAGUGCAGAAUAGGACUCACUUCUAAACAAGAAGAGAUAAUUAUCCCUAACACAUUUUCUCGAUUGGAACUUUUACACAUUUUACCAAAUUAAUUUUAGGCUUGAGGCCCCGCUCGUCAGUACCACUCUCUGCCUCAACAUCCAAUGUUAGUAUAAGAGAUUUUUAUCUCUUUACAAACACACUUGCUAAACCCCAGCGGAACGAAAAAAGACGACAUGGACAAGACAGUUAUUAUAGUAAAAAUAUACAAUAAAACGUGUCCGUCCGGCCUCGAGCGUCGUGUCGGCUAGCUAGCUUAGCUGUUGUCGAUGUUCAAAGCUUCCUUGAUCUGUGACGUGAGUUGUGUCGGCGCUGAUUGGUUGAAGCCCGUGCGUACGUGCUCGAACUCACGCUGAUUGGUUGAAGCGCGUGCGUACGUGCUCGCGCUCAGCAGAGAGCAGCGAACUAUCGACUGCCGAGGCGCGCUUCACUCCAGUGGCGUCGCUACAAGUAUAAGGCAUAACAUGACCAAACAAUGGAAAGGUCAUCCCAUGCUAUUAACCGUAUUUCCUCCUCUUGUGACCGAGGCAGAUAUUUAUUCAGCCGUCGAGAGAACGAAGCAUUUAUUAGGAGGUUAGCCUUUUAUUGUAAAAUGUAUUCUUGUAAUCAUUUGAAAUCUUCUAUACCGCUUGUCAUUUGGGUCAUGGAUUGGAGUGAGAGGUGAUAUACUGUACACCCUUGACUGGUUGCUAGCUAAAUGUAGGGCAUAUAUAAACAACCAACAAUUCCCACCCACAUUCCCUCCUAUAGAUAAUUUAGUGUCUUUAAUGAAGCUAAAUACUUUUUUUGGAAUGUGGGAGGAAGCCGCAGAAGCCAGAGAAACGUGCAGGCCAGACCCGACUUGUGUUUAACUAAACACAAACAUCAUCUUUCCACUCCAGUAUGGUGUACCCUUUCUUUGUGAGACUCUUUAUAACUUUAUAGGUCCCACAUCCGUCGUGCUGGCGGUGUAAGAUAUGUUGAGGAGGUCUAGAAAAAAGACGGACUACGAAGCUAGGCAGGCUUUAAUUUUCAUCUCAGCGAACCAUCUUGUGUUCACCAAGUGGACCACUUUGACUUGCCUUUGUUUCAUGCGAGAGAAAGCAGAUUUUCCGAGCGUGAGCUAUAUCACACACUGAUUAUGUUCCCUUUCUUGCCAGCCGGCAAUCCCCAUAAAUGGAUUAAAUCUGCCCUUUCCAAUCGCAUCCAUAUGCAUGAGAUGGGGAAAUAGCAAGGCCAGUCAGUCAGGCGGUAGUAUAUUUGGCAUUUCAGAUCAAGCGCAUAACUUCCACAGACGGCGGGGGCCAUGCAACCACCCCCCCCCCUCUCCCACACUCCCCCGCCUCACGUUGCAAAUAAUAGUCCACCAAUCAUCCACAUAAAAGCGGCUGAAAAAAGAGGCGCCGCUUAAAACAUCUUACAAGACACACGUCUCCUUGCGGGAACACUCAGAAAUGACACUAAAUUGUAGGGCUGUUCUAUGCUACUCCAUUGAUACUCGUGAAUGCAGGGGUCAAAACAAACGGGAUUUACGAACCACAAAACAUUGCGCCCCCACCCCAAGAAAAAUCCCAUAAAUCACACUUCUCCAUUCAUCAUUACUUAUUUAUCCAAAUCAGGUGGUAUUGUGUUGACUCCAAGAACAAAACAACAAAAACAGUCAAUUGGCUUUUAAAUUGAGAAACCUGGGGCUACUUUGACUUUCUUGGUCAAGGAUCAAAUUGAAAGGUCGACCGCUUGCAUGGGGCUUUGGGAUCAUACAAAACAAACUCAUAAAACCAUUUUUGAAAUUGGGUUUUAAAACGUUUCAGGCAGGCGACUAUGUUAACACCCUUGGCUUGUAUUUUCAGUCAUUUAUAGGCUUUACACAGAAAUUAUAGAUUAAGAAUUCCAGACCAAGUCUGAAAAGACGUUUAAAAAACGUCUUUGGGAGUGAAUGAGUUAAGAAUCGUUAUCGUUAUGCACCUGAUACCAUGAUAAACUGCCCACUGUGGUUACAGCUGCCCCUGAAAAGGUUAUUUAAAAAAAAGGCAAUUUUGAGACCCGAUGUUAAAUGCUAGCUAGCUUUGUCAAGCACCCAAAUGUCAUUACUGUGUAAACUAACA